GGGUAUGUGGCUCAGUGGUAGAGCACUUGCCUGGCAUGCAUGAGGCCCUGGGUUCCAUCCCCAGCACUGCACA
rnacentral:tRNA from 1 species